rnacentral:rRNA from 1 species
UGGAGAUGAACUCGCGUCAGAUUAGCUAGUUGGUGGGGUAAGAGCCUACCAAGGCGACGAUCUGUAGCUGGUCUGAGAGGAUGAUCAGCCACACUGGGACUGAGACACGGCCCAGACUCCUACGGGAGGCAGCCGUGGGGAAUUUUCCGCAAUGGGCGCAAGCCUGACGGAGCAAGACCGCGUGCGGGAUGACGGCCUAAUGGUUGUAAACCGCUUUUCUCUGGGAAGAUGAUGACGGUACCAGAGGAAUCAGCCUCGGCUAACUCCGUGCCAGCAGCCGCGGUAAUACGGAGGAGGCAAGCGUUAUCCGGAAUUAUUGGGCGUAAAGCGUCCGUAGGUGGUUAUUCAAGUCUGCUGUCAAAGCGUGGGGCUUAACUCCAUAGAGGCAGUGGAAACUGGAUGACUUGAGUGCGGUAGGGGUCGAGGGAAUUCCCAGUGUAGCGGUGAAAUGCGUAGAUAUAGGGAAGAACACCAGUGGCGAAAAGCGCUCGACUGGGGCCUGCACUGACACUGAGGGACGAAAGCUAGGGGAGCGAAAGGGAUUUAGAUACGCCUGUAGUCCUAGCCGUAACGAUGGGAUACUAGGUGUUGCUCGUCAUCGACCCGAGCAGUGCCGUAGCCAACGCGUUAAGUAUCCCGCAUGGGGAGUACGCUCGCCAGAGUUGAAACUUCAAGGCAUUGACUGGUGGCCCGCACAAGCCGGUGGAGUAUGUGGUUUAAUUCGAUGCAACGCGAAGAACCUUACCAGGGCUUGACAUGUCCGGAACCUUGCCGAAAGGUGAGGGUGCCUACGGGAACCGGAGCACAGGUGGUGCAUGGCUGUCGUCAGCUCGUGUCGUGAGAUGUUGGGUUAAGUCCCGCAACGAGCGCAACCCACGUUCUUAGUUGCCAGCA